rnacentral:tRNA from 1 species
GUCUUCAUAGCAUAAUUGGUAAUGCAACUGACUCUUAAUCAGUAGAGUGUGAGUUCGAUCCUCACUGAAGACACCA